rnacentral:rRNA from 1 species
GACAGAGGGUGCAAACGUUGUUCGGAAUUACUGGGCGUAAAGCGUGUGUAGGCGGUUCGGUAAGUUGGAUGUGAAAGCCCGGGGCUCAACCCCGGAAGUGCAUUCAAUACUGCUGAACUUGAGUCUCGGAGAGGUUGGUGGAAUUCUCGGUGUAGAGGUGAAAUUCGUAGAUAUCGAGAGGAACAUCGGUGGCGAAGGCGGCCAACUGGACGAAGACUGACGCUGAGACACGAAAGCGUGGGGAGCAAACAGG